rnacentral:snRNA from 1 species
GAUCAAAGUGUAGUAUCUGUUCUUAUCAGCUUAAUAUCUGAUACGUUCUCCAUAGGAGAACUACGAUAUUAAACUGAUUUUUGGACAUGGNCAGAGCGCUAGGGGCUUGCUCCGCCUCCGUCACGGGUCUGCC